CGGAGGGGCGUAGCGUUGUUCGGAAUUACUGGGCGUAAAGACGCACGUAGGCGGAUCAGUCAGUCAGGGGUGAAAUCCCGGGGCUCAACCCCGGAACUGCCUUUGAUACUGCUGGUCUGGAGGUCGAGAGAGGUGAGUGGAAUUCCGAGUGUAGAGGUGAAAUUCGUAGAUAUUCGGAGGAACACCAGUGGCGAAGGCGGCUCACUGGCUCGAUACUGACGCUGAGGUGCGAAAGCGUGGGGGAGCAAACAGGAUU
rnacentral:rRNA from 1 species